AGAAUAAAUACCUCUUUCAAGCACUUGUGUUAACCUGUCUUUAUAAUUUAAUACAUCUAAUUUUUUGCUUUAACAUACAGACUUUGGGGUGCCUGGGUGGCUCAGUUAGUUAAGUGUCCGACUUCAGCUCAGUUUGUGAGUUCGAGACCUACAUCGGGCUCUGUGCUGACAGCUCAGAUCCUGGAGCCUGUUUCAGUGUCUGUCUUGCUGUCUGUCUCUCUCUCUCUGCCCCUACCCCUGCUCAUGCUCUCUUUCUCUCUCGAAUAUUAAUAAAUGUUAAAAAAAAUAUUUUUUAAUAUACAGACUGGUAAUUCUUAAAAAUAUGGUACAGUACAUUGUAAUGGAUUUUACAGCUUUGUUAUCAGUAUUAAUGUAGAAGGAAAUAUGGUAAAUACAGUUGAUCCUCAUAAUUUUGUGGAUUUUAUAUUUGUGAAUUUGCCUGUUUGCUAAAUUUGCAUACUUGGCGUUAUAUUUAACCCCCAGAUCAAUACCUCUGGUACUGAUCUUUUUAUGGUCAUUCACAGAUCUGUGCAGAGUGGCAAAAAUUUUGAGUCACCCAACAUACAUGUUUCCAGCAGAAGUUGUACAGGGUGCUGAUCUGUCUUCUUGUUUCAGCUCUCUGCUGUAAACAAGUGUCCUUUUCAUAGUCUAUGUAGUGCCACAUUUUUGGCAUUAUUGUGUUUUUUUUCUUGGCGACUUUGCUGUUUAAACAUAGUGCUAAAUGCAAUCUAGUUGUUAUUUAAAUACAAGAAGACUGUGAUGCACCUUUCAGGAAAUACGUGUAUUAGAUUAAGUCUCAUCAGACAUGAGUUCUAGUGUUGCGGGCGUGAUUUCAGUGUUAAUGAAUCAGCAGUAUAUAUUAAAUAAGGUGUUUUUAAACAGAAACACGAAACAACAUUGUAUGUUGAGUGGUUGAUGAGACUGUUUGACCAGAGGCUUGUUCACAGUUACCUAACCCUAGAUAUUUCUCUCAGGAGCCAUUUGUUCCAAUUCAGUAUUCACGUUGACUUUAUAGACCAUACUACCAUGAAUGUUGGGUAUCAACUAUAUAUGAAGUAACCUAAUCACCAGGAUUUUAGAAGAGAAACCCUGCUGUUGAUUAAAGUAUAUCAUUUUUUAAUUUCAGAAUAUGGAACUGUGCUACCAAUAAUCAAGUCCCCUUAGUGACCACUUUUUAAUAUUUGUGCUUACUAUAUAUUUAAAGAGCUGUUCAUUUUUUCUUUUUUUAAUUAAAGAGAAUUUAUGUCACUUCCUGGAAGAACUAGACUUUUCUCACUAGUGUUAAACAUAUUAUUCUAAGGGGAGAUACUAAUAAUGUGUUCUUCAUUUACCCAUUCCUGUAGUACACAUUACUCCAAAAUCUAGCAACUUUAAAACAGUAAAUAUUUAUGUCAUGGUUUGUAUGGGCCGAAAAUUUGGGCAUGGCCUAGUUAGGUGGUUCUGUUUCAGUCUUUCAUGAGGUUGUAGUCAUCUGAAGGAUUCACUGGGAGUAGAGAUUUGCUUCCAAAAGCCAUUCGCUUACAUGGCUAUUGAUAGGAAGCCUUGGUUCGUUCAUGUGGAUCUUUCCUCUAGGCCAGUUGACUAUCCUUAUGGCAUAUCAGCUGGCUUCUCUUAGUGCAGGUAAUUCAAGAAAUAGGGCAAG